CUACGGGCCGCAGCAGUGGGGGAUAUUGCACAAUGGAGGAAACUCUGAUGCAGCAACGCCGCGUGAGGGAAGAAGGUUUUCGGAUUGUAAACCUCUGUCCUUGGUGAAGAAACAAAUGACGGUAGCCAAGGAGGAAGCCACGGCUAACUACGUGCCAGCAGCCGCGGUAAUACGUAGGUGGCAAGCGUUGUCCGGAUUUACUGGGUGUAAAGGGUGGGCAGGCGGGACUGCAAGUUGGAUGUGAAAUACCGAGGCUUAACUUCGGGGCUGCAUCCAAAACUGUGGUUCUUGAGAGAUGUAGAGGUAAGCGGAAUUCCGAGUGUAGCGGUGAAAUGCGUAGAUAUUCGGAGGAACACCAGUGGCGAAGGCGGCUUACUGGGCAUUUUCUGACGCUGAGGCACGAAAGUGUGGGGAGCAAACAGGAUUAGAUACCCGUGUAGUC
rnacentral:rRNA from 1 species